rnacentral:rRNA from 1 species
GAUGAACGCUGGCGGCGUGCCUAAUACAUGCAAGUCGAGCGAACAGACGAGGAGCUUGCUCCUCUGACGUUAGCGGCGGACGGGUGAGUAACACGUGGAUAACCUACCUAUAAGACUGGGAUAACUUCGGGAAACCGGAGCUAAUACCGGAUAAUAUAUUGAACCGCAUGGUUCAAUAGUGAAAGACGGUUUUGCUGUCACUUAUAGAUGGAUCCGCGCUGCAUUAGCUAGUUGGUAAGGUAACGGCUUACCAAGGCAACGAUGCGUAGCCGACCUGAGAGGGUGAUCGGCCACACUGGAACUGAGACACGGUCCAGACUCCUACGGGAGGCAGCAGUAGGGAAUCUUCCGCAAUGGGCGAAAGCCUGACGGAGCAACGCCGCGUGAGUGAUGAAGGUCUUCGGAUCGUAAAACUCUGUUAUUAGGGAAGAACAAAUGUGUAAGUAACUAUGCACAUCUUGACGGUACCUAAUCAGAAAGCCACGGCUAACUACGUG